UAUUUUCUUUCCUUCCCUCUGUUUCAAAACAUUCCCGCGUUUUGAAAGAAAAACCUUCUGACUGCGCUCUCCGUCUAUUGUCCGUCUUCUGCCGUCUACCCUCCGCCUUCAAACGACCGCCGUAUGCCGUUUACUGUCUGUCGUAAUCUUCGUUUAUUUCUAUAGUAAUCAUUACGUGGGUAAUUUUCUUAAUAAUUCAGAGGUACAUUUUUCUCUAGUUUUUAGUUAACUUUCCCUGAUUUAGGUCAAAUUUUUAUGAAAUUUCUAUUUCAAUUUCAUGAUUGUGUUUACUGUUUAGAUAAUUUCGAUAAAAGAAGACAAACGGUAUAGAUAAAUGCUCUAAAACUUCGUUGUCUACCGACAAUAGGGGCAUGUUUCAUCGACUUGCUGGCAUAGGUACUGGUUUAUCAAAAGUACCAUUAUAUCUUUGAUUUUUUAUGUUUUGGAGUUUUUUUUGGUUAAUGUUUUUUGUAAUCUAUUAAAUGGUAUAACGGUCUAUGGUCUUCUAGCGGGUCAAUCAUAAACAACUUUUUUGUCAAUAUUAUCACCAACAGGUAAGAUUGCAUGUAUUUGAACCACCGGGAGCCACUGGGCAAUGGUAUGUUGUUCUUGUAUAACGGUCUAAUGUCUUAUCAGAUCUGAUAUACUCUUAUCAUUUUGUUGGAAUAUAUCAUACCUUCCGUUGGGUUUUUUGUUACAUGUAUUUGGUGAUGUACAACUGUGCAAGAGGUCAAUAGAGGAUCUAGGCGGGUUAUAUUUGAUUUAUUGGGGAGGGCAAGUAUGAUUAGAGAACCUCGUUGUGAGAAAUGGAACUAUAAAUAUUGAGGUGGAUGAUUUUUUGUGUUCUAAAAAGUCAUGAAUGUGUUGUUAUUAUCCAUCUUCCUAAUGUUCAAGGUUAUGAAUUUCAUCAUAGAAGCAUCAUGAAAACAUAAGACAUUGAGAAAACUAUGUAAAACAAUUAUUUCUACACUUAUUAGAAAGUAGAUAUGGGGUACAAACUCAUAUAAUUACCUUAUCUUCAAUUUCAAUAUCAUAAAUCCAUAAGACCAUGAAACAUCUAUUACAACAAAUUUUUUGUUUUCCUGUUCGUUAGAUGCUCUGAUGAACAGUUAACCUUUAUUUGGUGACACAUGUUCUCUUGUAAUCUGAACCUUCCAUUGCUUGUCAUCUGAGCCCUCCAUUAAUAUGUUCCCAUGUUCACUUGUUCCCAUUUUCUUUCCAUCGGUUUGUUUUGCCUUCUUUUCCCAUUUCUUGCUUUUCCACAUUGAUUUUUUAUGUGUUAAAAUAGAUUUUGUGCUCUAUCUUUGUUACCGCAAAUCGAAUCCAAUGAGUCUUUGAAGUCCACGACUUCCAUUCCAAAAUUUUGAUCACAACAUAUUCAGAAUUUUGGAUUCGAAGUCGUCGAUUUAGAGUUGCUUAUUGUUGAAAACUCCUUAUAAUAGCUCACUGAUGCUAGAUUAGGUAAGAUGUAAAAGCAUUGGAACUACACAAAUAAAAGAAAAGGCAAUUGUAGCUCAAUGAUGCUUUAUCUAAUAUCAAUUUUAUGCCUUGGAUUUGAUAUAAGAUUUGAGAGCAAAUACUCAAAAGAUGUAUUUAUUCCAUGAUUUAUACCAUGAUCAAGUACUUUUCUUUGUUGUGUUUAGCCAAAUUACAAAGAUGCCCAUGUUUAAAUCCAUGUUGGUGACUUUGAUUUUUAUUUGUGUUGAACCACUUUGAAAAGGAAAAUACGUGAUUGAAUCAUUGUUGACGCCUUCAAGUAAUAACUCAAUGAAGCUAUAUCUUAUUUUUAUUUCACGCUUGGUUUUGAUAUAAGAUUUGAGAGCAAAUAAAAAAUUGAAAAUAUCUAGGCUUCUCAUCAAAUGCUUCAUGCUUGUGUGCAAACCUAUAAUAAAACUGCUAAAUUCAUAAAUCUUCUUAUUAUUUGUAGUCCAAUAUUGUUAAGUUAACAAUAUUUCAGCAAAUUAACAAUAUUGUUAUCACAAGUCCAUCCAAUGAGCCAUUUUAAUCCACAUUUUUCAUUCUGAAUUUUGAUUGACAAAAUUUUCAAAAUUUUUAGAUUGGAAGAUGUGGUUUUAAAGUUGCUUGUUGUUGAAACCUCAUGACAAUAACUCAAAAAUUCUAUAUUUAAUUUUAAUUAAAUACCCCAACAAUUAGAUAUAACAUGUGAAAGCAUCAGAAUUCCUCAAAUAAAAUGAUAGGCAAAUGAUUAUAGUAAUAGCUCAAUGAUAAUAUGUUGAUAUCAAUUUUAUGCUUUAGAUUUGUUAUAAGAUUCAAGAGCAAAUACUCCUAUGAUGUCCAUGAUUUAAUCCAUGUUCAAGUACUUUUCUCUGUUGCGUUUAGCCAAAUUAUAAAGAUACCUAUGGUUAAAUUCAUGUCGAUGACUUUGGUUUUAUUUGUGUUCAACCACUUUGAAAAGGAAAUGCCAUGAUUGAUCAUUGUUGACAACUUAAAGUAAUAUCUCGAUGAUGAUCUAUCUUAGAAUCUAUUUGAUGCCUUGGAUUUGAAUAUAAUUUGGGAGCAAAAAAAAAAAAAAAACUAAAUGUUGUUCAUUUUUGGAUCUAAUAAACAUUUAAAUGUUUCUUUGCUAGGAGAUUGACAAAUAUAUCUAAACUCCUCUUCAACUGCUUCAUCAUUAUGUGCUUAGUAACCUAUAAUGAAACUGCUAUGUUGAUUGGAAUUUGACUGUUAGUUGUGGAUUUAAUGAUUGUUCGUUUUUGUAAUUGAUGCUCAAUUUUAAGGUUUUCCAAUAUUUGUUCUUUAGGUUUUUAGGUUUUAACGCUGCAAUCAUUACACAUGUCCUUCAAUUGAUCUGAACUCUCCGUUGUUUGUAAUCUCAGCCCUCCGUUCUCCUGACUUGCUUUCCCUCUUUUCCAUUUCUCUUUUCCCUGUUUCUUACGCCAUACUCUCUCAUUUCUACUUCUUCUCACGUUCUCCAUGUUAACAGAUGUUGUUAUCACAAGUUCAAUCCAAUGAGCCUUUGAAAUUCACAACUUCCAUUUCCAAAUUUUGAUCAACAACAUUUUCGAAAUUUUGGACAGGAAGUUGUGGAUUUAAAGUUGCUUGUUGUUGAAACCUCAUGAAAAUACCUCAAUGAUCCUAUUUCUAAUAUUAAAUACCCCAACACUGGGUACAUGUGAAAAUGUUGGAAUUUCCUUAAAUAAAAGGAUAGGCAAAUGGUUAUAGUAAUAGCUCAAUGAUGCUAUAUCUAAUAUCUAUUUUAUGCUUUGGAUUUGAUAUAAGAUUUGAGAGCAAAUACUCAAAGAUAUCCGUGAUUUAUACCAUGUUCAAGUACUUUUUUCAUUUGUGUUUAGCCAAAUUACAAAGAUGCCCAUGGUUAAUUCCAUGCUGGUGACUUUGAUUUUAUUUGUGUUCAACCACUUUGAAAAGGAAAUGCCAUGAUUGAUCAUUGUUGACGACUUAAAGUAAUAGCUCCAUGAUGAUAUAUCUUAUAUCUAUUUGACGCCUUGAAUUUGAUAUAUGAUGUGAGAGGAAAUUGAAAAAUAAUGAAAUAUUGUUCAUUUUUGGAUCAAAUGAACAUUUAAAUCUUUUUUUGCUAGGAGCUUGACAUUUGUAUUUGAACUCCUUUCUUAUUGUUUUUGUUUGUGUUCAAUGGUACAAUCUCUCCGAGUAUGGAGUACAAUCUCUCCGACUGGUAUAAUAAGCAUGCAUCAGGACUCUUUUCUUAUGGUUUUAUAUUUGUGUUUAACGAUUGCGUGGUAGCUAAGCUGAGAGGCAAUUGAGGAAAAUUUUAUGCAAUAAACAACUUUGGUCCAUGGAUGUUAAACUGCCUGGAUGGAUAAUCAGUACUUGUGACUCUAAUGGGUGAAUGAACAGAAAAGGAGAUGAUCUGUUUUGCCAUCUUUAUAUGCUAUCUACUUUGAUUUAAUUUUUUAAAACAACAUUUGAUCUAUGAUAAUUUCUAUAGUUCGCGGUACAUUUUUUUCUGUCCCUAUAAAAAUUGGUACAACAAAGAUUUUUGACAAGUGUAACUGUUUAUUACCUUUUUUUAGUUAUCUGUACUUAUAAAAGCUUUCAUUUAUUUACCUCGACUUUCAUCUAUAAAAGAAGAUGCAAUUUGAUAAGUUGUGGUAGCUCUGCUGAUGAGUCAAACUCCAUUUUUUUCAACCUUAACUUGAUAUUUUUUGUAUUAUUUUAUCUUUUUUAUUUUUUUAUUUUUUGAAUUAGGUGCUUGUUGCAUUUGUGUUAUGCUAUCUGAAACUCUUUCAUUGUUUAGCACAUGGAUGUGAAGUAUUGAUAUGUAUUUUUCAAUCUAUGAAAACCUCUCAGCCUUCAAGAGAUAGGACAUCAAAUGAACAAAAGGAAGAGAUAUAUGGUGCUAGGAAUAAGCUCUCACAAGUAUGACUGAUUUUGUAUUGGAUAGCAUACCUGGUAGUUGGAAGCUGCUCAUGUGGAGUUUCUUGGAGGAAUUUCAAUCCCUAAGCUAAGUUGAGAGGCAGUUGAGCAAAAUCCAAUGCAACAUACAACUUUGGUCUAUGGAUGUUAAACUGCCUGGAUGGAUAAUCAAUACUGGUGAUUAUAACAGCACAAGGAUGUGAAGUGACGACAUAAUUUUUUCAGUCUAUGAAAACCUCCCAGACCCCAACCUUCAAGAGAUAGAACACCAAAUGAACAAAAGGAAGAGAUAUAUGGUGCUACGUUGAUAAUACAAAAAUUAUAUUCGGGACUACAAAUCCUCAUCCUGACUGUAGACUGCCAACCAUUGGAGAGAAUAUACAAGCAACAUUAUACAGGCAAGUUAGUGAUGACUGACUAGCUCAAGCUCCGAUACCUAUAUACAUUUUUCGGCCACUGUAUUUGCUCUUUGUCAUUUGUGAUUUAUUACUAGAAAAGGGACAAGUGAUAUUGUACUGUAAUGUUUAAACUAUGAGUAAUAAUAUGUUAAUAAUUUACGUGUUUAUACCACGGAAUGGAAGAAAGACGUUGAAUUGUAAUUGGUCAUAAUUUAGAAUCUACCAAGUAUCUCUGUUUGGUACUGCACUGCACUAUUUUUUCUUGAAUGCAUAUGUAAUGCACAUCGAGAAGGUUUAAUUAUUUUGAGCAAUCAUCAAGGUUUUAAUUAUUCUGUACUUUAGAGUUUCCUACAUUUUUUCUU